AUUGAACGCUGGCGGUAUGCUUAACACAUGCAAGUCGAACGGUAACAUUACUAGCUUGCUAGUAGAUGACGAGUGGCGGACGGGUGAGUAACGCGUAGGGAUCUGCCUUGGUGUGGGGGAUAGCCCGGAGAAAUUCGGAUUAAUACCGCAUACGCCCCAUGGGGGAAAGAGUGCCACUUCAUGAAAGCAUUCGCACCGAGAUGAACCUGCGUUGGAUUAGCUAGUUGGUAGGGUAAAGGCCUACCAAGGCGACGAUCCAUAGCUGGUCCGAGAGGAUGAUCAGCCACACUGGGACUGAGACACGGCCCAGACUCCUACGGGAGGCAGCAGUGGGGAAUAUUGCACAAUGGGCGCAAGCCUGAUGCAGCAAUACCGCGUGUGUGAAGAAGGCCUGAGGGUUGUAAAGCACUUUCAGUGGGGAGGAAAAGCAGCGUGUUAAUAGCACGAUGCCGUGACGUUACCCACAGAAGAAGGACCGGCUAACUCCGUGCCAGCAGCCGCGGUAAUACGGAGGGUCCAAGCGUUAAUCGGAAUUACUGGGCGUAAAGCGUGCGUAGGUGGCCAUUUAAGUCGGAUGUGAAAGCCCAGGGCUCAACCUUGGAACUGCAUACGAUACUGGGUGGCUAGAGUGUAAUAGAGGGUAGUGGAAUUUCCGGUGUAGCGGUGAAAUGCGUAGAGAUCGGAAGGAACAUCAGUGGCGAAGGCGACUACCUGGAUUAACACUGACACUGAGGCACGAAAGCGUGGGUAGCAAACAGGAUUAGAUACCCUGGUAGUCCACGCCGUAAACGAUGUCAACUAGCCGUUGGAAGACUUGAUCUUUUAGUGGCGCAGCUAACGCGAUAAGUUGACCGCCUGGGGAGUACGGUCGCAAGAUUAAAACUCAAAUGAAUUGACGGGGGCCCGCACAAGCGGUGGAGCAUGUGGUUUAAUUCGAUGCAACGCGAAGAACCUUACCAAUCCUUGACAUCCUCAGAACUUGUAAGAAAUUACUUGGUGCCUUCGGGACCUGAGUGACAGGUGCUGCAUGGCUGUCGUCAGCUCGUGUUGUGAAAUGUUGGGUUAAGUCCCGUAACGAGCGCAACCCCUAUCCUUAUUUGCCAGCACGUCAUGGUGGGAACUCUAAGGAGACUGCCGGUGAUAAACCGGAGGAAGGUGGGGACGACGUCAAGUCAUCAUGGCCCUUACGGAUUGGGCUACACACGUGCUACAAUGGGCAGUACAGAGGGUUGCGAUCCCGCGAGGGUUAGCUAAUCUCAGAAAGCUGUUCGUAGUCCGGAUUGGAGUCUGCAACUCGACUCCAUGAAGUUGGAAUCGCUAGUAAUCGCGGAUUAGAAUGCCGCGGUGAAUACGUUCCCGGGCCUCGUACACACCGCCCGUCACACCAUGGAAGUGGGUUGCACCAGAAGUAGCUAGACUAACCUUCGGGAGGUCGGUUACCACGGUGUGAUUCAUGACUGGGGUG
rnacentral:rRNA from 1 species